UACGGAGGUGGCGAGCGUUGUCCGGAUUUACUGGGUGUAAAGGGCGUGUAGCCGGGGAAACAAGUCGGAUGUGAAAACCCGGGGCUUAAGUCCGGAGCUGCAUCUGAAAUUGUUUUUCUUCAGUGCUGGAGAGGAAAGUGGUAUUCCCAGUGUAGCGGUGAAAUGCGUAGAGAUUUGGAGGAACACCAGUGGAGAAGGCGGCUUUCUGGACAGUAACUGACGCUGAGCCGCGAAAGCGUGGGGAGCAAACAGG
rnacentral:rRNA from 1 species